rnacentral:misc_RNA from 1 species
GUAGGUGAACCUGCGGAAGGAUCAUUAUCACGUAUCCACGUAUAAACCAUCCGUGAACUGUCUCACCCUUUGAUUAUCUAAGUUAGUUUGUAAUAGGUAGCAUAUGAACUCGUUUCUUGUGAUUUGGAGAGUUCGCUAUUCUGUUGCCUCGGAAUUUAUUCCGUACUUGGAUUCUCUCAGGUGUAUUUUCUAAAUCACACUUGUAUUAACAACUUGAACAAUUUAUUUAAAUUAUUGAACUGAUCUGUUU